rnacentral:rRNA from 1 species
CCUACGGGGGGCUGCAGUGAGGAAUAUUGGUCAAUGGGCUUACGCCUGAACCAGCCAAGUCGCGUGAGGGAAGACUGCCCUAUGGGUUGUAAACCUCUUUUGUCAGGGAGCAACGCCGGCUACGUGUAGCCGGACGGAGAGGACCUGAAGAAAAAGCAGCGGCCAACUCCGUGCCAGCAGCCGCGGUAAUACGGAGGAUGCGAGCGUUAUCCGGAUUUCUUGGGUUGAAAGGGUGCGUAGGCGGAAUGCCAAGUCAGCGGUAAAAUCGCGGGGCUCAACCUCGCUCCGCCGUUGAAACUGGCGUUCUUGAGUGGGCGUGAAGUAUGCGGCAUGCGUGUUGUAGCGGUGAACUGCAUAGAUAUCACGCAGAACUCCGAUUGCGAAGGCAGCAUACCGGCGCCCACCUGACGCUGAAGCACGAAAGCGUGGGUAUCGAACAGGAUUAGAUACCCGGGUAGUC